GUAGGACGCUACUAUAAGUAACGUCCUAGGUCCGCCGCCAAAUUCCGUGGCCUCGUGAGAUGAAGACGCUAAUGAUAUUAGCGUCCCAGGUUGCAUAAUUUCUUUCCAGUCCCUCCAGUAAAACACAUCCCGGUGGUUUAAAUUUUUUAAAAUUUUUUUAUUAUAUUUUCGUGAAAUGUUGUAUUUAUACAUUAUAAAAAAAAUUAUAG
rnacentral:misc_RNA from 1 species